rnacentral:lncRNA from 1 species
UGCGCCACGAUGGGAACUCCAAAUACUCAAAUUAAAUAGUUAGUUUUGGGAAUUCCCAUUGUUGCUCAGUGGUUAAUGAAUCUGACUAGGAAUCAUGAGGUUGCGGGUUCGAUCCCAGGCCUUGCUCAUGGGUUAACGAUCCGGCGUUGCCGUGAGCUGGGGUGUAGGUCGCAGAUACGGCUCGGAUCCCGCGUUGCUGUGGCUGUGGUGUAGGCCUGUGGCUACAGCUCCAAUUAGACCCCUAGCCUGGGACCCUCCAUGUGCCACGGGAGUGGUCCUAGAAAAGGCAAAAAGACAAAAAAAAAAAAAAAAAAAAAAAAAAAAAAAGGCUCCAUCCGACUGUAAGGUGAACAGCCCGUGAGGGAGGGGAGCAAGGAAAGUCAGGGGGGAGGCGACUGCACCUUCGAGGGCAGGGCGAGCGGGCGGAGCUGUGGUGGGAGACAUCUUUGGAUUGUGGAUGGAUGCAUGUUCUAAGAAGGGGCAACUAGGUUUUCUAGAAUGGCUGGUGAGAGAGAGAAACAGACCAAUCUAGGGUGUUUGGUGUGAGCAGCUGUAGGGAUGAGAGCUCCAGUUGAGAUGAGAAAGUUGAUCGUAGGGUCAUAACGACUGGGCGCGUUCCCCUUAUGGCUCAGUGGUAACAAACCCAACUAGUAUCCCCGAGGAUGCUGGUUCGACCUCUGGCCUUGCUCAGUGGGUUAAGGAUCUGCGUUGCUAUGAACUGUGGUGUAGGUCGCAGACGUGGCUCAGAUCCUGCGUUGCUAUGGCUGGCUGGCAGCUGCAGCUCUGAUUUGACCCCUAGCCUAGGAACUUCCAUAUGCCACAGGUGUGGCCCUAAAAAAAAAAAAUCAUUAAGGACACAAUCUCAGGGUGUUCCCGUCAUGGCUCAGUGGUUAACACACCCGACUAGGAUCCAGAAGGAUGCAGGUUCUAUCCCUGGCCUCUCUCAUUGGGUUAAGGAUCCAGCGUUGCUGUGAGCUGUGGUAUGGGUUGCAGAUGUGGCUCUGAUCCUGCAUUGCCGUGAGUGUGGUGUAGGCCUGGGGCUGUAGCUCUGAUUUGACUCCUCCCCUGGGAACCUCCAUCGAUAUGCCCCAGGUGUGGCCCUAAAAUGCAAACAAACAAAAAGAACACAAACUCAGCCAAUUGAUGCCCUGAGUAGCAUCCCACGCAGCGAAGAGAAAGGAGCUCCACUGAGCUGUAGCAGAGGUUUUUAAAGAUGGAAAGGAGGUAGGAAGAGAAAUUACUAGCAAAGAAUACAUUGUUUUCAGCGAAGUUGCCCUCGGAAGGGGAGCCAAAACAGCAGGGUUCUACAGGGCAGAACGCCUCAUGCGUGCUGGCCAGGAGAUUCCAGGGGACUGGUGAACUGUUGGGUUUCUGGAGGUUGAAACUGCAGUUCGAUUAGGUAUCAGGUCUUGGUUUGCUGGCACAGGCUUCAGCCCCGUGAUUCCAGGUUCGUCUGCCAUCUCCUUUGUCACACUGCUUAUCUCUUGAAAUGGUUUUCAGUUUUCUUCCAGCCUGCGGAGUUUUUCCAGCAAGCUGUUUGCAUCACCCUGUGGGAGCCAGGUCGUACCCUGACCUUUCAAUCCUACAAAACUUCAACCACACCCGCCCCUUCCCAUGAUUCCUUCCACUGUUCCAUGUUCACCUGGCCUCGUGUGGUGUGUGGCGACCUGCUCUCCCAGGCUGUGCAUGUCUGUAAUGAAUGAACUGCUGUUGGUCUCAUCUGUGCAGUGUCAGGUGUCACGUGUGCUGCAUUGCCACAGCCCCAGGAUAGGAGAUCCCCCCACAGUGGGGUAAAAGGAGGUGAUUCAGGGAGUUCCCGUCCUGGUGCAGCAAAAACGAAUCUGACUAGCAUCCCUGAGGACACAGGUUCGAUCCCUGGCCUCGCUCAGUGGGCUGAGGGUCCAGCAUUGCCGUGAGAUGUGGUGUGGGUUGCAGACACAGCUCGGAUCCCGAGUUGCUGUGGCUGUGGUGUAGGCUGGGAGCUGUAUCUCUGAUUGGACCCCUAGCCUGGGAACCUUCAUAUACUGCAGGUGUGGCCCUCAAAUAAAAAAAUUUAAAAAAUUUUAAGAAAGGAGGUGAUUCAAACAAAAGUAACACACAGGGAGGCGUGAUGGCGACGGCCCGUGGCUUUGGUGUUCAGGAACGUGCAGUCUGAAAUGAUGUGUGCUUGGAGUUCCCUGGUGGUCUGGCAGUUAAGGAUCCAGUGUUGUCACUGCUGUAGCUUGGGCCACUGCUGUCCGGCCGGUUCAGUCCCUGGCCUGGGAGCUUUUUGGCAUGUCAUGGGUACGGCCCCACAAAAUUUAGAAGUUAACAAAAAAUGUAAAGGGAUUUGUUCUUGGAGGAGGGCGUGCGAUGGCCCAGGCCGCUGGGAUUGCGGCUUACGUGCCUUGAUCACGUUGGGGAGCAGCUUGAGGAGCGGGUAGAUGCGUCUUCGCCAGGCCCACAGCGUAGACAUCUGUUUCUGGGCCUGCCUCUUGAGGCCGAUUCAUGACCAAUGAGCCCAUAAGGAGACAGCAGUGCCCGUGGCCCCAGGGCCCUGUCUGUCCCCCGAGUUGGGCGGCGUGGGCUGGAUGUCUGCGGGCUGCAUUGCGGGUCCUCAAGGCUGACACGGCAGGUGACCCCCGACGGUGGGUCGUGUGCUUCUGCCGAGGGGAGUGGGGUCUCCUCGAUGAGUUUCAGAGGCACCUGCGCUGCCAUGUGACAAACCUCCGCGCCCUGAGCUCUCACGCGCUGGCGCCUUCGCCCCGCCCAGGCCUGCCCUGCGCACCUCGCAACCGCAGCGGGCGGCGGCUCCCUUCUCCAGGCCCUAAGCUUAGGGAGCUGGGGGGCCCUGGCGGAGGCGCCUGCACCGCCCCCUCCUCUCCUCCGGCCGCCCCCGCCCCGCCUUCGCCGCUGCGCACGGAGGAGUCAGGCUCAGGCGUCUGCGCGGCCCUGGAACGCGUCCUGUUGGGCUCGCCGCCCUGUCCCUGGCCCGCCACUUUGUCCACGUGCUGCUGCUGCUGCUGACGACGACACCUCAUGCUGCCUGUGCCAGGAGCUGGCUGCGAGUUAGUGCUGUGGCUGUGACGUGGCCCCUAGCCUGGGAACUUCCACAUGACGCACGUGAGGCCCUAAAAAAAGCAAAAAAAAAAAAAAAA